UUGAUUCCAUUUUAAAGUCAAUGGCUUUUAGUCUAAAAUUCUUUGGAUCAGGCGAAUGGCAUUUGAUUUGCCAAUCGUUUGUCCACAAAACAAGAACAUAUUUAAAGCAAUAUUGAAGUCAUAGGCUUUGCAUGGAAAUUUAAUGUAAAUUCCCCCGGCGAUUCGCAUCGAAAUAAAACCAAUUUUGAGUCGGCACUUGUUUAUUUUAUUGAGAGGCAUUUUGGCAAGUGUUGCUGAAACCCAAUAUGAUGGAUAGUCUGCCACAGAAUUCGACUCCGACAAUGGGCAUCGCAUGGAGUGCGGCGAUGAACUUUGGGCGCAAUCAAUGCCGCAGAGGGAUGCGGUGGCACAGAGUGGGUGAAACCAGGACGAAAACAGGACGAAACCAGGUCCUGCCGCCGGCCAUGUGGCAUAUUUUUGCAGGAUGCCCGGCAAAGGGAGCAGCAAGCGCAGUCAAUGAACCCGGCCAUAAAAAUCAUAAAUGGCUACGUUCUCGAGUGCAGUUACAAAGCCAUAAACCGAGGCCAAUAAGCAGGCGGACCCAACUAUAAUGUUCGAUUUUCCGACUCCCCACAAUUCACAAAUCCAAAAGCCAUGGCCAUUACAACGAAGCAUUGCUCUAUAUGGGAAGGGAUUUGGCCAAUACUAAUUCAAAAGCAGGGCGGUACACAGACUUUUGGUUAGCAGAAUGGGGCAAGGAGUCCAGCCGGCAUUUCCUGCACAAAUCAAAAAUAUCAUCGGAUUUUUACAUAAGAUACUCGUGUACUCGUAUUCUGUUGCCUGUUGCCAGCAUAAAUGUUUCGGGCCAACUAAUCGAAAGCGAAAACAAUUCGAAUUGGAAAAGUUUGUGUAAUGGAACUUUUUUCCAAAGCAAAAACGGAAAAACGAAAACCGAAAAACGAAAAACUUCAGCAUCAUCAGAACAUUAAGCUUUGCCGCUACAAGUACCAGUGCCACGCCCCCGAUUGCGACCACGCCCCCAUCCUCAAUGCAAAGCCUAUUCAAAUGUGUGGCACUCGUAUGAUUUCUUUAAAAGGAGCUGAAAAGGAAACUCUCGAAUUUGGAGGAAAAUGGAAAAGGGAAAGGCCCGCACAAAGUUCUCCAUGUGCAAAUUUCACUUGACUUUCGACCUAGCCACGUUUAGCAGUUUACCGGCAAAUCACUUGGCCAACACAGCGCCCCCCGGCAAAGGGGGCGUGGCCAUAUGUGAGAUAAACUUUUCGCACCCCACCACCACCACCACCCC